AGGACCUGGCUCUAAUUCGACCUCAUUCACAAUUGAAGUACGGAGGAAUUUGUGGAGAUUAAAGCUGCCAAUAAAAAUUGGUGUAAUUUUGUGGAAAUUUUUUACAUGGGAAACUCCCAACUAAUGGACAGAUUUGCAAGUGUUUUCCUUCCUUUUCUAAUGAGUGCAGGUUUUUUGGGGAGCCGGAAUCUGUUGUUCAUCUGUUCUUUCAAUGCCCAAGAGCUGUUCAAAUCUGGUUUCUCUCUCCCG
rnacentral:misc_RNA from 1 species